GGGCCCGCACAAGCGGUGGAGCAUGUGGUUUAAUUCGAAGCAACGCGAAGAACCUUACCAGUCCUUGACAUGGGUAGUAUGGAUUUUGGAGACAAUUUCCUUCAGUUCGGCUGGCUACCACACAGGUGCUGCACGGCUGUCGUCAGCUCGUGUCGUGAGAUGUUGGUUAAGUCCCGCAACGAGCGCAACCCUCAUCUUUAGUUGCCAUCGGUUCGGCCGGGCACUCUAAAGAAACUGCCUGCGAUGAGCAGGAGGAAGGCGGGACGACGUCAAGUCAUCAUGGCCCUUAUGGACUGGGCUACACACGUGCUACAAUGGCGGUGACAAUAGGCAGCGAAAGGGCGACCUGGAGCAAA
rnacentral:rRNA from 1 species